GAAUCGUGUUGGGCAGUUGCCCCGAUAUGUAAGGGGAGGAAAGUCCGAACUCCGCAGAACAAGGUGCCGGGUAACGCCCGGGGUUCCGGUUAAACCGGAACACGGAUAGUGCCACAGAAAACAGACCGCCCUGACUUUAGUUGGGGUAAGGGUGAAAAGGUGAGGUAAGAGCUCACCGCUUCGGCAGUAAUGCAGGAGGUCCCGUUACGGGAUCCCGCCUCCGGCGGGACAAGGUAAACCCCACCUGGAGCAAGGUCAAGCAGAAGGUCUUCCCGUUUUGACGGGAAAAGGUUGUUCGCCUUUAGCGCCUUCGGGUAGACCGCUGGAACCCGGUAGUAAUGCCGGGUCUAGAUAAAUAACUGCCGUCCGCCUCAGGCGGAUUACAGAAUUCGGCUUACAGACACGAUUCAUCU
rnacentral:RNase_P_RNA from 2 species